CAUUCACUCACUCAGUUGUCAACUGUCAUUGUGUCAUUUGCGACGUGUGGUUGUGUUCAACAGAAUAAUUUUUUUAAUGUAGUUAUUUUCGAAGAAAUACGAUAGAUCUUACGACUAAAAAUACUUGGAUUUGCAGUGUAAUAGUUUUAUAAGUAAAUAGUGAUACCUAUUUGUGAGUAACGAGCGGGGAAGUGGAAGUGAAAAAUCGAUCGCCUCUCGCAGUGUAUUUGAAUGCGUGUGUUGCACUCUAAUUUUUUUUGUUGUUGCUGGAGUUGAUUGUUCCGUGCCGAGUAUUGAUAAUGGCAGGUGUGUGAGACGAGCAAGAUUUUCCGAUUUAUGAAAGACGUGUUUUGUUGCGACGCCGAUGGAUAUUUAGCAGCGUGCGGAGUGCCGGCCGCAGGAUGAUGGUGGAGACCAUGCUCGAGUGUUCGCAGGACUUCGGAGGCAUGUCGGGCGCCGGCGUGCCGCAGUGGAAGAGGGAGCUGCUGCAGCGGCGCCUGGCGCGGCCCCGCCCCCCGCCGCCCGCGCCGCCACCGCCGCCGCCCCCGCAGCGCGACGACGAGGACCUGCGCUACGGGCCCGGCAUCGUCAAGCGCCUGCAGUCGCGCUACCUGUCGCUGGCGCUGCGCGAGCAGCCGCGCCGCCGCUCCCUGCGCCGCGCCGCCUCGCUCGAGCUGCUGGACGCGCCCGCCCCGCGCCCCGCGCCGCGCCCCGCCUCGCUCGCGCUCCCGCCCCCGCGCCGCGACUCCGUCAAGCGAGCCCGGUCCGUGGACGCGCUCAGCCGCCUGGAGCGCCGCCCGCCCUCGCCCGUCGCGCCCGCGCCGCCGCCCGCCGCCCCCGCGCCCGCCGCCGCCCCGCCCGGCGACGCGCCUCCCGCCGAGCCCGGCCAGCCCCGCGCCGGCCGCCCGCCGCGCCGCCCGCAGCCGCUGCUGCGCCAGGCCGAGCGCCCGCCGCCCGACCUCGUGCGCUCCGCUCUACGCAAGUUCGAGGGGAGCGGCGGGCGGCGCGGGGCGGGGGGCAGUGCCCCGGCCGCGCGCGUGGCCGCCGUGGUGCGCGGCCUGGAGCCCCGCGAGCCCAGCCCCGCGCCCGGCGAGCCGCGCCGCGUCCCCCGCGCCGCGCUGGACGGCAUCGCGCGCGCCGGCAGCACCACGCGCUACGCCUUCCCCGCGACCCCGCCCCCGCCCGCUGCGCGCGCGCCGCUGCCGCCGCCGCCGCCGCCGCUGGCCGCCACCAACCCUGUGCUGGCGCGGCGCGUGGGCGUGAUCCGGCCGCUGCCGCCCGCCGCGCCGCCGCCGCCGCCGCGCCCCGACCACCUGCGCCUGGAUAAGCCGGCCCCGCGCCUCGCCAGCCCGGAGCCCGCGCCCGCCGCCCCCCCCGCGCCCGCCCCCCCCGCCGCGCCCGCCGCCCCCGCCGCGCCCUGGCGCCGCGCCUCGCUCGACGCCACGGAUCGCGCCCACGACAGGACACAGUCUCCGGACCACAUUACUUCUCCCGACAAAAUUGUAUCGCCCGAAAAGAUGGUCUCUCCUGACAAAGUUGUAUCGCCGGAUAAAAUUAUUACUAUAGACAAAAUUAUAACUCCAGACAAAUGUCUCUCUCCAGACAAAAGUAUCUCUCCAGACAAAAUCAUCCCUCUAGAAAAAAUCAUGUCACCAGAUAAACUAAUAGCACCAGACAUAAUAAUAAUUCCGGAAAAAAUUAUAACUCAUGAAAAGAUCCUGUCUCCAAACAAAAUAACUUUUGCUGACAAAAUAUUGUCAUCAAACAGGGUGUUGUCUCCUGACAGAAUGUCGCCGCUGGACAAGACCUUUACUUCGGACAGAAUUGUGAGCCCAGACAAAAGCUCCACUGUGGAAAAGACGACAUCACCGGACAAGAAUACCUCUCUGGACGACAUACCCUUCAUGAACAAGAUGAGAGAUGCGGAGAAGCGCUCGUCGGCGGAGGUGGCGCCGCUGGUGAACGGGCACGCGGGGGGCGCGGGGGAGCCGCGCGUCAACGGCAAGGCGUGCAAGAUCAGCGCCGCCAAGAUCGAGCGCGGCUGGAGCCCGGGCGAGCGCCGCGCCCCCGCGCCCGCGCCGGCGCCGUGGGGGCGCGCGGGGGCGGCGCGGGGGGCGCCCGCCGCCGUGUCCGUGGUGUUCAACUUCUCGUCGCGCGCGGAGGUGCCGGACUACAUCGAGAACGACGGCGUCAUCCUGCGCGCCAGCAAGCGCGACAAGCUCAAGCCUGGCGACCCGGGCGUGGUGGUGCUGGACGCGGCGGCGGCGGCGGCGGCGGCGUCCGACUCGGACUCGGACGAGGGCGGCGCGGGGGGCGCGGGGGGCGCGGGGGAGCCCGAGCGCCUCGCCGUGCGGUUCACCAACGACAACGUGCUCAUCAACGGCAAGUCCUCGCUGCUGGCCAGGACCAACCGCGACCGACUGCUCAAGUUGAAGCUUCAGUUCGACGACUCGCUGACGCGCACCUUCGAGUACCCCUCCGAGACGUCGCUGUGCGAGGACGACUCCCCCGCCCCCGCCGCCCCCGCCGCCGCCGCGCACCCCACGCUCACCUCCAACACGCAUAUAGCGUCGGCGGCGCUGGCGGGCUACACGCCGAGCAAGACGCGCGCCGAGGAGUUCCGCCUCGGGCUGUCGCGCCAGGACCCCGCGCCGCCGGCCAAGACACCUGCCGUGGAGACAGCUGAAGAAGAAGAAGACGAGGAGCUGGGCGACGUGCGGCCGUGCGGGGGCGCCGCGCGGAGCUGGAGCCAGGCGCGCGCCGCCCGCACCGACCUGCUGUUCUAGUGCGAGCGAGACAGACGCAGGGCAGGUGAGUGCGAGCGAGACGGACGCAGGGCAGGUGAGUGCGAGCGAGACAGACGCAGUGCAGGUUGUUGAAACCGACACGGAUGAAGACGCGGUGCACGGCGCCGCAUGGACUUGUGUAAGCUAAGCUUUAUUAGACAUAGCCACUAUUACAUAUUAAUAUUAUAUAUUGUUAUGUUCACAUUCCAAAAUAUUAUACAUUCGAUUAAAGAAAGAGA